rnacentral:rRNA from 1 species
CAUCCUCCAAGGCUAAAUACUCCUGACUGACCGAUAGUGAACCAGUACCGUGAGGGAAAGGCGAAAAGAACCCCGGCGAGGGGAGUGAAAAAGAACCUGAAACCGUGUACGUACAAGCAGUGGGAGCACAGGUUUACCUGUGUGACUGCGUACCUUUUGUAUAAUGGGUCAGCGACUUAUAUUCUGUAGCAAGGUUAACCGAAUAGGGGAGCCGGAGGGAAACCGAGUCUUAACCGGGCGUUAAGUUGCAGGGUAUAGACCCGAAACCCGGUGAUCUAGCCAUGGGCAGGUUGAAGGUUGGGUAACACUAACUGGAGGACCGAACCGACUAAUGUUGAAAAAUUAGCGGAUGACCUGUGGC